rnacentral:rRNA from 1 species
AUGUGCAAGUACCAUGUCGAAGAGCACAUCCUCGAGGAGGCCGAUCCGCUGCACGAGGACGCCGUGUGGCGGAACGACGACAUCACGCUGGUGCUACGGAUCUAUGCCACGAUCUCCGACAAGUUGUACGACGUGAUCCAGUCGCCCGAGUCCACGGCGUACCACCUCCGGCAGCAGCUAGAGACCUUCUUCCGCGACAACGCCGCCGGCCGCGCGGUGCACAUCGGCGCCGAGUUCCGCGCCACCAUCCAAGGCGACAUGACCGUCGCCCAGUACUGCCGCUGCCUCCAGAAACUCGCAUUUGCGCUGGCCGACGUCGCGAACCGGUCACCGACCGCUCUCUCACGCUACAGCUGGUGCAUGGGCUGA